rnacentral:rRNA from 1 species
GUGUUUUUAGCAAUAAUGUCCUUUGAAAUGUUUUUUACUUCAUUGUAAUAAAUUAUAUUUAGGAUUUUUACUUUGAGAAAAUUAGAGUGUUUCUAGCAGGCUAAUGCUUUGAAUACUGCAGCAUGGAAUAAUAAAAUAGGAUUUUGGUUCUACAUUAUUGGUUUUAAGAGCUAAAUUAAUGAUUGAUAGGGACAGUUGGGGGCAUUUGUAUUUAACUGUCAGAGGUGAAAUUCUU